rnacentral:rRNA from 1 species
GUGCCAGCCGCCGCGGUAAUACGUAGGGGGCAAGCGUUGUCCGGAUUUACUGGGUGUAAAGGGUGCUCAGGCGGAUUUGUAAGUCAGAGGUGAAAUCUCACAGCUUAACUGUGAAACUGCCUUUGAUACUGCAAGCCUAGAGUAUGGAAGAGAGUGAUGGAAUAUCUGGUGUAGCAGUGAAAUGCGUAGAUAUCAGAUAGAACACCAAUGGCGAAGGCAGUCACUUGGUCCAUAACUGACGCUAAAGCACGAAAGCGUGGGUAGCAAACAGGAUUAGAUACCCUGGUAGUCCACGCCCUAAACGAUGAAUACUAGAUGUUGGCUUCGCAUGAAGUCAGUAUCUGAGCUAACGCAUUAAGUAUUCCACCUGGGAAGUACGAUCGCAAGGUUGAAACUUAAAGGAAUUGGCGG